rnacentral:rRNA from 1 species
AAUAUUGCGCAAUGGAGGAAACUCUGACGCAGCGACGCCGCGUGAGCGAUGAAGGUCUUCGGAUCGUAAAGCUCUGUCCUCAGGGAAGAAGAAAGUGACGGUACCUGAGGAGGAAGCCCCGGCUAACAACGUUCCAGCAGCCGCGGUAAUACGUAGGGGGCAAGGCUUGUCCGGAAUUAUUGGGCGUAAAGGGUGCGUAGGCGGCUAUUUAAGUCAGGUGUGAAAGACCACAGCUUAACUGUGGGGUUGCAUUUGAAACUGGAGAGCUUGAGUGUCGGAGAGGGCAGUGGAAUUCCCAGUGUAGCGGUGGAAUGCGUAGAUAUUGGGAGAAACACCAGUGGCGAAGGCGACUGCCUGGACGAUAACUGACGCUGAGGCACGAAAGCUAGGGGAGCAAAC